GAUGAACGCUGGCGGCGUGCCUAAUACAUGCAAGUCGAGCGAACAGACGAGGAGCUUGCUCCUCUGACGUUAGCGGCGGACGGGUGAGUAACACGUGGAUAACCUACCUAUAAGACUGGGAUAACUUCGGGAAACCGGAGCUAAUACCGGAUAAUAUAUUGAACCGCAUGGUUCAAUAGUGAAAGACGGUUUUGCUGUCACUUAUAGAUGGAUCCGCGCCGCAUUAGCUAGUUGGUAAGGUAACGGCUUACCAAGGCGACGAUGCGUAGCCGAACUGAGAGGCUGAUCGGCGCCACUGGAACUGGGACACGGUCCAGACUCCUACGGGAGGCAGCAGUAGGGAAUCUUCCGCAAUGGGCGAAAGCCUGACGGAGCAACGCCGCGUGAGUGAUGAAGGUCUUCGGAUCGUAAAACUCUGUUAUUAGGGAAGAACAAAUGUGUAAGUAACUAUGCACGUCUUGACGGUACCUAAUCAGAAAGCCACGGCUAACUACGUG
rnacentral:rRNA from 1 species